GAUGAAGAACGUAGCGAAAUGCGAUAAGUAAUGUGAAUUGCAGAAUUCAGUGAAUCAUCGAAUCUUUGAACGCACAUUGCGCCCGCUAGUAUUCUGGCGGGCAUGCCUGUUCGAGCGUCAUUUCAACCCUCAGGCCCCGCCUGGCGUUGGGGAUCGGCGCGGCCCUCUCCGGGCUGCCGGCCCCGAAAACUAGUGGCGGUCUCGCUGUAGUCCUCCUCUGCGCAGUAGCAACGCUCGCACUGGAACUCGGCGCGGCCACGCCGUAAAACACCCCACUUCUGAAAGUUGACCUCGGAUCAGGUAGGAAUACCCGCUGAACUUAAGCAUAUCAAUAAGCGGAGGA
rnacentral:misc_RNA from 1 species